UACGAAUGGGGCAAGCGUUGUUCGGAAUCACUGGGCUUAAAGCGUACGCAGGCGGCCAUGCAAGUCAGAAGUGAAAUCCCUGGGCUUAACCCAGGAAUUGCUUUUGAAACUGCACGGCUAGAAUCCGGGAGAGGUUGGCGGAAUUCCUAGUGUAGCAGUGAAAUGCGCAGAUAUUAGGAGGAACACCAGUGGCGAAGGCGGCCAACUGGACCGGCAUUGACGCUCAUGUACGAAAGCGUGGGUAGCAAACAGG
rnacentral:rRNA from 1 species